rnacentral:rRNA from 1 species
CCUACGGGUGGCUGCAGUGGGGAAUUUUGGACAAUGGGCGCAAGCCUGAUCCAGCCAUGCCGCGUGCGGGAAGAAGGCCUUCGGGUUGUAAACCGCUUUUGUCAGGGAAGAAACGGUUUGGGCUAAUACCUCGAACUAAUGACGGUACCUGAAGAAUAAGCACCGGCUAACUACGUGCCAGCAGCCGCGGUAAUACGUAGGGUGCAAGCGUUAAUCGGAAUUACUGGGCGCGAAGCUGCAGGACGCGGGCGAAAUCCCCGGGCUCAACCUGGGAACUGCAUUUGUGACUGCAUGACUUGAGUACGGUAGAGGGGGAUGGAAUUCCGCGUGUAGCAGUGAAAUGCGUAGAUAUGCGGAGGAACACCGAUGGCGAAGGCAAUCCCCUGGACCUGUACUGACGCUCAUGCACGAAAGCGUGGGGAGCAAACAGGAUUAGAUACCCUAGUAGUC